rnacentral:rRNA from 1 species
UACGUAGGGUGCAAGCGUUGUUCGGAAUUACUGGGCGUAAAGGGCUCGUAGGUGGCCAACUAAGUCCGACGUGAAAUCCCCAGGCUUAACCUGGGAACUGCGUCGGAUACUGGAUGGCUUUGAAUCCGGGAGAGGGAUGCAGAAUUCCAGGUGUAGCGGUGAAAUGCGUAGAUAUCUGGAGGAAUACCGGUGGCGAAGGCGGCAUCCUGGACCGGCAUUGACGCUGAGGAGCGAAAGCUAGGGGAGCAAACGGGG